rnacentral:rRNA from 1 species
UACGAAGGGUGCAAGCGUUACUCGGAAUUACUGGGCGUAAAGGGUGCGUAGGUGGUUGUUUAAGCCUGCUGUGAAAUCCCCGGGCUCAACCUGGGAAUGGCAGUGGAUACUGGAUAGCUAGAGUGCGGUAGAGGGUAGUGGAAUUCCCGGUGUAGCAGUGAAAUGCGUAGAUAUCUGGAGGAACACCGGUGGCGAAGGCGGCAUCCUGGACCGGCAUUGACGCUGAGGAGCGAAAGCCAGGGGAGCAAACGGG